rnacentral:rRNA from 1 species
GGGCAGCAGUAGGGAGUUUUCGGCAAUGGGGGCAACCCUGACCGAGCAACGUCGCGUGAGUGAUGAAGGUCUUCGGAUUGUAAAGCUCUGUUACAGAGGACGAAUGAUUGGGGGAGGAAAUGCUAGUUGUUUGACGGUACUUUAUGAGAAAGCCACGGCUAACUACGUGCCAGCAGCCGCGGUAAUACGUAGGUGGCAAGCGUUAUCCGGAAUUAUUGGGCGUAAAGAGUGAGCAGGCGGCAGUUUAAGUUUGGAGUCAAAGCGAGGGGCUCAACCCCUUAACGCUCUGAAAACUGAACAGCUAGAGUGCGAGAGAGGUAAGUGGAAUUCCAUGUGUAGCGGUGAAAUGCGUAGAUAUAUGGAGGAACACCAGUGGCGAAGGCGACUUACUAGCUCGAUACUGACGCUCAGUCACGAAAGCGUGGGUAGCAAAUAGGAUUAGAUACCC